rnacentral:rRNA from 1 species
AGUGAACGCUGGCGGCGUGCCUAACACAUGCAAGUCGAACGAUGAAGUCAUUCGGGAUGGAUUAGUGGCGCACGGGUGAGUAUACCAUAGAUAAUGUACCUCUUAGUUCGGGAUAGCCACUGGAAACGGUGAUUAAUACCGGAUACUCCUUCUUGUCUUAAGACGAGUCGGGAAAGUGUUUUCGCUAAGAGAUCAGUAUAUGUCCUAUCAGCUAGUUGGUGAGGUAAUGGCUCACCAAGGCUAUGACGGGUAGCUGGUUUGAGAGGAUGAUCUGACACACUGGAACUGAGACACGGUCCAGACUCUCACGGGAGGGAGCAGUGAGGAAUAUUGCACAAUGGAGUAAACUCUGAUGCAGCAACGCCGCGUGGAGGAUGACGCAUUUCCGUGUGUAAACUCCUUUUAAGAGGGAAGAUAAUGACGGUACCUCUUGAAUAAGCACCGGCUAACUCCGUGCCAGCCGCCGCGGUAAGAC